AGAGGUUCUGACAUAUCUCAUGCCUGUCAAUCAACUCACUGAUUGUGUCCAGAAGUCCAUUGUCCUGAGCUCAAACCACAUUCUAAGUCACAUGCCAAACAGUCCCUCUUUUCUGUUGAACACAAGAAAGUCAUUUCAGUCUCCUGUGGUCCAGCUUCAAAUCUAGAGCUUUUUUCCUGUAUGAACCUGAGUGAAAUAUGC